AUUUCCUUGUCCUGUGUAACGUGUUAUGACAUGCAAGUUUAAGUAUCUGUUACAGUUAGUGUCUCCAUGUUGAGAUGAUGUUGAGUCAUGUUAUCUGUGCUGAAGAAGUUCAGACACCUCUCUUUUUGAUUUCCAAGGCAAUAGAAAAACUCAAAAAACAACAUCUACAUUCACAGACAAUUUAAGGUACAUAUUACUUCACAAUGCACAAAUCUAAGGAGACAUCAAUCUGUAUGUUUGAUACAACCACCAACACAUGUAUGUAUAAAUCAAUGAUAAUGAGUCUGAGGAAAAAUAACGAGAGGUUAUUUUCAAUGCCCAACUCCAGGACUGUCCAACAACCCUGAAUGGAGUCCUUACAUUUCCCUUAGCUAGACAGUUAAUAUACAUUGUUCCUAAGUCUGUUGCUAGUAACCGUGAAACCAAUCAAACGUGUAUCUGUUGAGUGUGAAUGUGGCAUACUCAUCUGAUCUGUGUAAAUACAAAGUGUUUUUAUUUUCUACAGAGAUUGAUAAAUCAUAUUGUCUGAGGUUCGAGCAUGUGAGUGUAACAACAAAAAAGGACAAAAAACUAAAACCUGUCUGUCUGUCUGUCUGUCUGUCUGUCUGUCUGUCUGUCUGUCUGUCUGUCUGUCUGUCUGUCUGUCUGUCUGUCUGUCUGUCUGUCUGUCUGUCUGUCUUGGUGUGUGUGAGGUACUUAUGUGAUCAGACUGUGUUGUCAACCAAUGGGUGUCUUACUGCACGACCAUGUCGCAGACGUCACCGAGCCAACCUGGAUGUUGCAUGUUUUGUUGAUGGUCUGUCAAUAUUUUUGCUUCCAGAUUAUGUUUAAAAAGAGAGAAUAUGUAUAGAUUUAUCGGAAAUUGUAUUCCGACUGUAUAAAGAUUAUGCUUGUAAAAUUGUCUUGUUUUUCAUUCAGUGUAAAAAUGGAGAAUCUAGCGUUCUGGUUUUGUGGUUGUACACAGGAUGUGUUGAGAUAUUAUUAUGCAAAUUGUGCUGUAAAAACCGG
rnacentral:lncRNA from 1 species